UCUACUCAGGCUUGACUGCCUGACCCCAUGGUAUGCAGGCAAGUGGUUGAAUCUCAUUUUUUAAAAUUUUCAAGAGAGACUGUCACGUUAAUAAUAAAAUUAGGUAAGUACCAACAGCUAGAAACACAGAAGUUGAGGUCAGCUGUUUCCUAUCUGAUUUCUUAAACACAGUUCUACUUUUCAGAUGAAGAAAGUGAAGAGAAACGAUGCUAUUGUACUUACCUUCUUGACUCCAUGUGGAAGGUCUCCCUUUCAUGAUCCUGGUAAUAGGAACAUGAUGUGGAAAUGGUCUCAUCUGGGAUAAAAUAUUAUGAGAGAGUGUGGAGAGAUGAAAAUAUGUUUGUGAGCAUUAUGAGGCGAUCUAAGAGGGUUGCAGGACUAGUGAAGAUUGACAGCAGUGCUCCUGACUGAAGCAGUGCUUCCUUGAAGCCUUUAUUUUCCUGCCGCAGGUGUCAGUCCUUCCUGCCCUGCAGAGCUCCAGCAGAAAGGUUGCUUACCCUUAUUAUGGAGAGUCUGCCCACCUUGGAUUGCUCUUAAAAGUCAAAUGUUAAGUCUAGAAACAAAGAAAUGAACCCCAUAAUUUGCAGUUUAUUUUUGUUGACAUCCAAGGCACUGUUGGAAUAAAUUCAGGCUGUUCAGAAUACCUGUAAAAUUUAGGUGAUAAUAGCAAAAUAUAGGUGGGAUCUCUGAGUCAUUAAAAUGCACAUUGGAAGGGAGAGGGAAGUGUCACUGUAGGAAUGGUGGCACUGGUUUGGAGGCAAGGCUGAGGUACAUAAGGGGCUUCAGAGAGGAAAGCAGCAAGUCUGUGGUGCUGUAGGUUGGUGUUGUGUUGCUGGUCACAUUUGCCCUGCUGAACUCUCUGUGAUAGACUUAAAGAGUACAGAAAAUCCAAACAUUGUUGCUGGAACAGUGUACUUCGAUUUUAUAUCUUUAGACCUGUAACAUGUUGUGAAGGCUUGAGCCAUUUUAUAGCUACAGCAACUCCCUUCCCUUCUCUGUCUACCAUGCCCUCACUGAAGUAUAGCUUUGUUUUGGGCUGAAUUGCUCUGGAACGACAGAGAAUGAAUCCUGCCUUGUGGGAACUCUCUGUUCUGUGUAAAUUUAAGGUGGGUCUCUGGAGGCACAUCGGAGCUUGGAGGGGCCGGGAAGGAGCACCUUACAGCACACUGGUGCCAUCUGAUGAAGUAACUGUUAAUUACAGACAUGGUCUUCCUGUGAUAACGCUUAUGCUGCCCACAAGAAGCGAACGCUGUCAGUUCACUGUCAAGCCGGUAGUGACCACUGUAGGAGCAUUCCUGCAGGAUGUGCAAAGAGAAGAUAAAGGAAUUGAGAGAGCUGAAGUCUUUGCAACAGAUGGUAGCAAGGUCUCUGAUGCAACCUUGAUGGAGGUCUUAUUGAUGAAUGACUUUAAACUUGUUAUCAACAACAGAGCAUGCAGUGUGUCACCUCCUGUAAAAGAUAAAAUGAGUAGUGAGCAUGCUACUGAAAUGGAAGAUAUCAAAUCCUUGGUUCACAGACUGUUUGUGGCUCUACAUUUAGAAGAUCACCAGAUCAGGAAAGAGAGAGAAUUGCUACAGAAACUGGACCAUCUGAAAGGAGAGCUGCUGCCUCUUGAACAGAUGAAAGCCAAAAUCAUGGACAGUGCAGAUGCAAAAACCUCCAGGCUUUUAUGGGUUGGCCUAGCUCUGAUGUCAACUCAGGGGGGAGCGCUGGCAUGGCUCACCUGGUGGGUCUACUCGUGGGACAUCAUGGAGCCAGUCACGUACUUUAUCACCUAUGGGAGUGCCAUGGCUUUCUAUGCCUACUUCGUUCUUACCAAGCAGGUCAGUGCUUGUCUUCUAAAGGAAUGUCUGGAAUAUUGGGAAGGAGGAAAACUGAGUCUGUGAAUCACAAUGUUUGAGCUCUGAGGAAAACAGAAUUCAGUAAGUGGCCUUGACUUGUUUGAUCUAUAAUGAGGCUGGAUGCAAAUAUUACAUCAAGCAGGUACUGCUGCACAUGAACUGCAGGACAGCUACUGAGCAUAAGUACUGUCAGAAAGAUUUCAUAACCUAGGAAAUGAAAAGUGAGGAAAGAAAUCUCUCCUUUAAAAUGUUUGUAGAUCACUUUGCAAAGUAAAUGACACCUUGCUCACUGCAGUAAUGGGAGAGCAACUGGUAGUGCUGUGCCAGUUUGUGAAUGCUGCCUUAUUUAAAAACAAAUAAAAAUAGUAGGUUUUAUUUGCUGGAGUUUACAUAUAUACAGUGCAGGGUACCAGACUUUUUGGAACUUUUUGUUUGGAAGUCUGGCAGUUGCAUUACUGAAAUACAUUUAGUGCCUGAAAAAACGUUAUUGCUCUGCUCAUCAUAAUCUGACUGCUUUUUCAUGACUUAGAAUGCUUCCAGGUAAAUCUAGGACAGCUGAAAUGGAGCAGGAAGCAGGCAUUGUGUAGAAGCAAAAAGUUUCCUCAGAUCUUUACCUAGCUUCACAAUACAGAUUUGUUCUGAAAUCCUGUUAAGACUUUGAGAAAUAUUCUUUUUCCUGUUUUAGCUCUGUACUUUACUCUGAAAGUGGACAUCUUGAUGCUGAACUUCCUAUGAUUGAGCUUCCUUUGAAAGCAGAACUCUUUUUGUUGUGGAAGUAUGUGGAAGAAUACCAGUACUUUCUUCCGUUAUACCAAUGGAUCUACAGACCUUGUGAGAAAUUAGGUUCCUUCAGUAAAAAGGGGAGACAUAUCUGUUUUUAUGAAGAGCUGGCUCAGAAUGACUACAUUUAUCCUCAUGCUAAGGACAGGCAGUUCCUCCACUACUUCUACCGCAAAUCC